rnacentral:lncRNA from 1 species
GAAUUUCACACUUUAUUAUUCUUCAGGAUAAAUAUUUAUAUACAUAUGAGAGAAUAUUCUAGAGACUAUUUUACAAGAGAAUAAUAAAACAUAUGGUAAAUAAUCAUCAGCUUGAAAUGUUUCCUUCUAUAUGAUGAUUCAAUCAAUUCCUUAUAAAUGGGGCUGAUUUGAAAAACUUCUUUCUAUAGCAUUGCUGUCUUUAUUUUCUGAUUUUGAGGAUUAGAUUGCUCCGUUGAAUAUGAUUGAAAUUUGUUAUCUUCUAUAACUUUGUUUCCUUCUAUACAUCAGAGGCAUUUGGGAUUUGAUUUCAUUUUUGAAAGAUAUUUUUGUACUUUACCUUCGAUAUUAAUAAAAGCUCUUGUUCUGACCAAACUAUUUUUUUCUACAUUAAUUUUCUUUGGGAUAUAUUUUUUGCCUGCUUGUUCUAACAAAAGCAGUUUUCCUUUUAGACCAACUGCAUGUUGAUGACUUCAGUUUUGAUUGUGUUUACAAAGUAAAAUAAGUUAAACAACCAACAGUAAAAUAUGCCAUAAUAAAUUUAGAAUAAAAUAAGAAAAUACAACAUACCUUCACCAAAUUAUCACAAACAUAUCUCUCACACAUAAUUGUUUUAUCUUUGUCAUUCCAACCAAAGCCACUUGCAUCUAGUCCAAGCAUUUCUGCUAUAACAUUAUAUUGCCUUUUCCAAAGUUUCACCGCAAGUCAAUAUAUCGUCGCUCCUUUGGCAAUUUCUCGUGCAUCCAUUUCUCCAAUUGUUGCAAGUACCCUGUUCGAAAAGUUCCGUUGUCGCCCUCCAUU